UACGUAGGGUGCAAGCGUUGUCCGGAAUUAUUGGGCGUAAAGAGCUCGUAGGCGGUUUGUCGCGUCUGCUGUGAAAACGCGGGGCUCAACUCCGCGCCUGCAGUGGGUACGGGCAGACUAGAGUGCAGUAGGGGAGACUGGAAUUCCUGGUGUAGCGGUGGAAUGCGCAGAUAUCAGGAGGAACACCGGUGGCGGAAGGCGGGUCUCUGGGCCGAUACUGACGCUGAGGAGCGAAAGCGUGGGGAGCGAACAGG
rnacentral:rRNA from 1 species